rnacentral:rRNA from 1 species
CCCAUGAACCUUUACUGUAGCUUUGCAUUGGACUUUGAACCGGUCUGUGUAGGAUAGGUGGGAGGCUUUGAAGCAGGAACGCUAGUUUCUGUGGAGCCGUCCUUGAAAUACCACCCUGGCUUGUUUGAGGUUCUAACCUAGGUCCGUAAUCCGGAUCGGGGACAGUGCAUGGUAGGCAGUUUGACUGGGGCGGUCUCCUCCCAAAGUGUAACGGAGGAGUACGAAGGUACGCUAGGUACGGUCGGAAAUCGUGCUGAUAGUGCAAUGGCAAAAGCGUGCUUAACUGCGAGACUGACAAGUCGAGCAGGUGCGAAAGCAGGUCAUAGUGAUCCGGUGGUUCUGUAUGGAAGGGCCAUCGCUCAACGGAUAAAAGGUACUCUGGGGAUAACAGGCUGAUACCGCCCAAGAGUUCAUAUCGACGGCGGUGUUUGGCACCUCGAUGUCGGCUCAUCUCAUCCUGGGGCUGUAGCCGGUCCCAAGGGUAUGGCUGUUCGCCAUUUAAAGAGGUACGUGAGCUGGGUUUAAAACGUCGUGAGACAGUUUGGUCCCUAUCUGCCGUGGGCGUUGGAAGUUUGAAGGGGGCUGCUCCUAGUACGAGAGGACCGGAGUGGACGAACCUCUGGUGUACCGGUUGUCACGCCAGUGGCAUCGCCGGGUAGCUAUGUUCGGAAGAGAUAACCGCUGAAAGCAUCUAAGCGGGAAACUCGCCUUAAGAUGAGACUUCCCUAGGAACUCGAUUCCUUUGAAGGGUCGUUCAAGACCAGGACGUUGAUAGGUCAGGUGUGGAAGCGCAGUAAUGCGUUAAGCUAACUGAUACUAAUUGCCCGUAAGGCUUGAUCCUAUAACC